AAGAAAUUAGUUUAUUUAAAACAUUAACUUGUCAAGUUAAAGAUAUAAUAUUAUAUUUCUUA
rnacentral:tRNA from 2 species